UGCAAGUCGAACGCAUCAGCAAUUAGUGGAAAGCCUCUUGGAGGCGGGGAAGGGGAGAAAUCUCUGGAGCCGUGGAUGGGGGUCGGAAGCUUGACGCUGGUGAGUGGCGGAUGGGUGAGUAACACGUCGGUGACCUGCCCCAAAGUGGGGAAUAACUGCCCGAAAGGACAGCUAAUUCCGCAUGUGGUCUGUCGUUCGCUCGACAGAUUAAAGGCGAAAGCCGCUUUGGGAGGGGCUCGCGGCCGAUUAGCUAGUUGGUAGGGUAAUGGCUUACCAAGGCGAUGAUCGGUAGCUGGUCUGAGAGGAUGAUCAGCCACACUGGCACUGACACACGGGCCAGACUCCUACGGGAGGCAGCAGCAAGGAAUAUUGCACAAUGGGCGAAAGCCUGAUGCAGCAACGCCGCGUGGGCGAUGAAGGCCUUCGGGUUGUAAAGCCCUUUUCUGCGGGAAGAGCAAGGACGGUACCGCAGGAAUAAGUCUCGGCUAACUACGUG
rnacentral:rRNA from 1 species